rnacentral:siRNA from 1 species
UCCAUUGAUAACAUAACUAGCGGG